rnacentral:lncRNA from 1 species
CCCUGGUGAGAGAAGACAUGGCUGGCACAACCACUGGCCCCAGGGGUCUUCACAGUGCUGGGGAUGGUCACAAUGGAUAUGACAUGUGCUCCAAAAGGGAACACGUAAGUCUAUAGAGGUGUUGUCACAUCACCUUGGGGAAGGGUUCCAGAGCAGGAGACACUGGCUGCUUCUGGAAAGGAUGAGAAAGUAUUUAUCGAGCAGCAUUUCCAAAUGUGCAGAGAUGUUGACAGUACAAUGAGCACCUCCCCAUGGCGGAGCCCCUGUUCCCUUUGCUCCAUCCAGCACUUUCCAGAAGCGGCCUCACACUGAAGGGGAUGGACCUGUUUGCCCCCGGUGGCUCUGCAAAGCUGAGGAUGUGUCAACUCAGGGAGCACUGGCCUCCACGCGGGGGCCAAGGUGUGAAGAUGGGGCUGGAAAGAUGCCGGGCCACAGGCCCUGCCUCUGAUGAAUGAUGGAAGUCAUGGGAUUGGCGAGGAAGACCACAGAGGGAUCUCCCUGCUCGUCCCGUCCCAGCAGGGCAGGUGCUGUCACAUGACCGAUCCCUGUGGCGUUAACCCUGGUCACCCGGCUGAGGUGUCUGUCAGGCUUCUCCACUGUCAACUCACUCCUUUUCGCUGUCCACACUGUCCUUUUUGGAAGGAAAUCACGAAGCACAGCCCACAUUUAAGGGGUGGGAGUGACGUUCCAUCUCCUUGAGGACAGAGUGUCUACAAAUUUUGGUUGUGGUACCUUCUAGUUGUGGCAUGUGGGACGCUGCCUCAGCGUGGCCUGAUGAGCAGUGCCAUGUCCGUGCCCAGGAUCCGAACCUGCGAAACCUGGGCCGCUGAAGCAGAGCGUGCGAACUUAACCACUAGGCCAUGGGGCC